AAGUCGUAACAAGGUAACCGUAGGUGAACCUGCGGUUGGAUCAUUAGAAAAUUUAGACGUUCAGCUAGUGCAGUUGAAAAACAGCCUAGCCGGCCUUCAUGGAUUGUGCUUUAACCUCGCAUUGUUUGUUAGCCCGAGUCUUCCUUUAUUGGAUGAGCUGGGGAGUAAUCACAUCGCUUUGCGGCUUAAGAAUGCCUUCCAUGAUGUCGCGUCAAACUCCUAUGUGCAACGUUUGGGUGUUGGUUGGAAAAGCAUGAGGUUUUUUUAAAUCUCAUGCCGGAAAACCAUCUCCCAUUCCACUAUUUUUAUAAUUUUGUCUAACUUUAUUUAAUAUAUAAUAUUAAAACAACUUUUGGCAACGGAUCUCUUGGCUCUC
rnacentral:misc_RNA from 1 species